UACGUAGGGCGCAAGCGUUAUCCGGAAUUAUUGGGCGUAAAGAGCUCGUAGGCGGUUUGUCGCGUCUGCCGUGAAAGUCCGGGGGCUCAACUCCGGAUCUGCGGUGGGUACGGGCAGACUAGAGUGAUGUAGGGGGAGACUGGAAUUCCUGGUGUAGCGGUGAAAUGCGCAGAUAUCAGGAGGAACACCGAUGGCGAAGGCAGGUCUCUGGGCAUUAACUGACGCUGAGGAGCGAAAGCGUGGGGAGCGAACAGG
rnacentral:rRNA from 1 species